AAUGGACAGAAUUUCUAGGCGCAACCGAGGCAUUGAGGGGGUCUAGUUUGGUGGCCUCACUUGCUUCCCUGCUC